rnacentral:rRNA from 1 species
AAUACAUGCAAGUCGAACGGUAACAGAGCUAGCAAUAGCUGCUGACGAGUGGCGGAUGGGUGCGUAACGCGUAUGCAACCUACCUGUAAUUGGAACAUAACGUUGAGAAAUUAGCGCUAAUAUUCCAUGUGGAUAUGAGACGGCAUCGUUUUAUAUUUAAAGAUUAAUUGAUUACAGAUGGGCAUGCGUAUCAUUAGCUAGUUGGUAAGGUAACGGCUCACCAAGGCAACGAUGAUUAGGGGUUCUGAGAGGAUAUCCCCCCACACUGGAACUGAGACACGGUCCAGACUCCUACGGGAGGCAGCAGUAGGGAAUAUUGGGCAAUGGAGGCAACUCUGACCCAGCCAAUGCCGCGUGAAGGAAUACAGCCCUACGGGUUUUAAACUUCUUUUAUUAUAGAGUAACCGGAGGUACGUGUACCUCCCUGCAAGUAUAUAAUGAAUAAGGAUCGGCUAACUCCGUGCCAGCCGCUGC